rnacentral:lncRNA from 1 species
UUUCAGGAACUACUUACAUACAAGAAAAAUAACCAUCCUAACAUCAUAAACUAGUUUUCACUAUUUUCUUGUGUGUGGCUUUUUUCACUCCACAUAUGUUUGCAAGACUCCCCCAUGUUGUUAGACAUAAAUGCACUUUGUUCUUGCUCAUUGCUGGUUGAUAUCCCAUUGUAUGGAUGCGCUGCAAUUGUUGAUGAGCUUUGUGCAGUUUCCAGUUUGGGGCUGUAAACCUUCCUGCACAUGCCUUUACGUGCUCCUCUGGGGGUAAAUCUGUUGUGUGCAUAUCUAGGAGUGGAAUUGCUGGGUUGUGGGCUAUGCAUAUAUCUACUUGAGUAGAUACUUCUAGUUUCCCAAAGUUGUUCUACCCAUGUACACGCCCACCAGGGAUGCACAGGAGUUCUCAUUGCUCUAUAUUCUUGUCAACACUUGGUAUUGUCAGUCUUUUUGUGUUUUAUGCUUGUUUUUUUUUUUUUUAGGGGAAUGACCACCUGGUGGAGGUGAAGUCCCACUUGGGUUGAAGUAUACUCACUCUGGCAGGAAUGAAAUCAGUGGUAAUAGAGCUAGAAUGAAAAAGGUCAAUAAAAAGAGACGCCAUAGAAGUGGAAUACACAGGACUUGCACACAAGGUAGAAAUGAACUUAAGAGGGAGAUGGAGGAAGGUUUCUGUAUGGGGUGGCUGGCUGGAUGAGGGACUUCAGAUUUGAAGCCAGGAGAAAACAUCCCAAUUUUAUAACAUCAUGUUUGAAAUGUAGGACAAUGAGAUGAAGAUGUCCAAUAAACUGUUAGCUAUAUGAGUCUGUUGCUUAGGGAUGAGGUCAAGGCUGUAGACAGAGUUAGGAGUUAUCACAGAGAUGGGGGUUGAGGCUGGGGGGUGGCUGAGAUUUCUCAGGUGGUUGCGUGCAAUGAAAGAGACAAGGGCUGAAGACCAGACGCCUGGCUUAGGGGAUGAGCGGAGGAAGAACAAGAGACAACAUCGCUUCCCUCUGAAAUGCUGGCAUGGGCUGCGAAGCAUGAGUCAGACCCUUCUAGCCCCAGCAGCAGCCUCAACAGCCUGGGUCCAUCUCACCAGCCACACAGUUUUCUCCUGAAUGAACUUGCAUCACUAACCUCAGAAGCUGUGUUGCGAAAUCCGCAUCAGAUUGCGUACCUCUGGUGGCGUCCUAGGGACAAUGGGCACUAAAGACUCAUAGCAUCCUGGGGUUGGAGUCCUCCUCUCCGCCUCCACAACAUCCCUGCCAAACAGUUAUCGAGCACCCCAAGCAGGGAACUCAACUUCCCACGGCAUCCCAUUUCCUUGUUGAGCAAGUGAAGAUCUAAGAAAACCUUUUCUUGCAAUCUCACAAUACUGAAAAGUCAAAGAAAAAGAUAACGCUAUAAUUUAAUGGUAAUGAUCCAGGACAGAGUGAAAUGCAAGGACUCUGCAUCCUGGAAAAUCCAUGUCUAUUAAUGUACCCAUCAGCAUCUUCUUGCUGGGGUUAGGGUCAUGGUGUUUGACUCCCCACAGGAAGCUGCAGUGAUUUCAUUACUAUUUGCACACUGGUUGGGAAUGUGCUCAUCCGCUGCAGGCAUUCCUCUGGCUUCAUCAAGCAGUGAGUACAAGGGCCCUGGAAUCUGGCCAGUCUCUCAGGACUGAAGCAGU